AUUGAACGCUGGCGGCAUGCCUUACACAUGCAAGUCGAACGGCAGCACGUGAGCAAUCCUGGUGGCGAGUGGCGAACGGGUGAGUAAAGUAUCGGAACGUGCCCAGUCGUGGGGGAUAACGUAGCGAAAGUUACGCUAAUACCGCAUACGAUCUAGGAAUGAAAGCGGGUGAUCGCAAGACCUCGCGCGAUUGGAGCGGGCGGUAUCAGAUUAGGUGGUUGGUGGGGUAAAGGCUCACCAAGCCGACGAUCUGUAGCUGGUCUGAGAGGACGACCAGCCAAACUGGGACUGGGACACGGCCCAGACUCCUACGGGAGGCAGCAGUGGGGAAUUUUGGACAAUGGGCGCAAGCCUGAUCCAGCCAUGCCGCGUGCAGGAUGAAGGCCUUCGGGUUGUAAACUGCUUUUGUACGGAACGAAAAGGUUUGACUUAAUACGUUGGACUCAUGACGGUACCGUAAGAAUAAGCACCGGCUAACUACGUGCCAGCCGCCGCCGUAA
rnacentral:rRNA from 1 species